rnacentral:ribozyme from 1 species
UGCAGAGGAGGCAGCACCUGCAGAAUUGCAACUUUCGAAGAUUCCCAAGUUCGUAAUCUCAACCGCAAGGUAUGGCAAAAGAACGGUGCCCUUGGUGGAGGAGCUUCGGAAGUAUGGUGACGCUUUC